CAGUUGAAAAUCCCCCAUUUUAUAAACCACCGGUAGAGAAACCACCUGUGUAUAAACCACCAAUAGAGCAACCUCCAAUUUAUAAGCCACCUGUAGAAAAUCCUCCAAUUUAUAAACCACCAGUAGAGAAACCACCCGUGUAUAAACCACCGUUUGAGAAACCUCCAAUCUACCAUCCACCAGUAGAGAUACCACCAGUGUACAACCCACCAGUUGAACAUCCUCCAAUUUACAAGCCUCCUGUAUACAAACCACCAGUAGAGCAACCUCCCGUCUAUAAGCCACCAGUAGAGAAGCCUCCAAUUUACAAGCCACCAGUAGAGAAACCUCCUGUUUACCAACCUCCUGUUUACAAGCCCCCAGUUGAGAAACCUCCAGUGUACAAGCCACCUGUAGAAAAGCCACCAGUGUACAAGCCACCUGUAGAAAAGCCACCAGUGUACAAGCCACCUGUAGAAAAGCCUCCUAUAUACAAACCACCAGUAGAGAAACCACCAGUGUACAAACCACCCGUUGAGAAACCCCCGGUUUAUAAGCCACCAGUAGAGAAACCACCUGUGUACAAGCCACCAGUUGAGAAGCCCCCAAUUUACAAGCCACCAGUAGAGAAACCACCUGUAUACAAGCCACCAGUUGAGAAGCCUCCAGCUUACAAGCCACCAGUUGAGAAGCCACCUGUAGAGAAACCACCAGUGUACAAGCCACCGGUUGAGAAGCCCCCAAUUUACAAACCACCAGUUGAGAAGCCUCCAGUGUACAAGCCACCGGUUGAGAAACCACCUGUCUACAAGCCACCUGUAGAAAAUCCACCUGUUUACAAGCCACCAUUUGAGAAACCUCCAAUUUAUAAACCGCCAAUAGAGUAUCCACCCGUGUACAAGCCCCCUUUUGAGAAACCCCCCAUCUACAAGC
rnacentral:lncRNA from 1 species